GACGAACGCUGGCGGCGUGCCUAAUACAUGCAAGUAGAACGCUGAAGGAGGAGCUUGCUUCUCUGGAUGAGUUGCGAACGGGUGAGUAACGCGUAGGUAACCUGCCUGGUAGCGGGGGAUAACUAUUGGAAACGAUAGCUAAUACCGCAUAAGAGUGGAUGUUGCAUGACAUUUGCUUAAAAGGUGCACUUGCAUCACUACCAGAUGGACCUGCGUUGUAUUAGCUAGUUGGUGGGGUAACGGCUCACCAAGGCGACGAUACAUAGCCGACCUGAGAGGGUGAUCGGCCACACUGGGACUGAGACACGGCCCAGACUCCUACGGGAGGCAGCAGUAGGGAAUCUUCGGCAAUGGACGGAAGUCUGACCGAGCAACGCCGCGUGAGUGAAGAAGGUUUUCGGAUCGUAAAGCUCUGUUGUAAGAGAAGAACGAGUGUGAGAGUGGAAAGUUCACACU
rnacentral:rRNA from 1 species